CCUUUAAAUUCUAGUGUCUUUUAAAUAAAUAAUAAAUAGCCAUGGGGUCUCCAACUGCAUGCCAGAGUAACUGGAGAGACUUUGACCGCCAGGGCAGCACAGUGCCUGCAGCUGCCACUUGACUUUCCUAAACAU